rnacentral:rRNA from 1 species
UACGGGGGGGGCAAGCGUUGUUCGGAAUUACUGGGCGUAAAGGGUGCGUAGGCGGUGGGGCAAGUCAGGUGUGAAAUCCCGGAGCUCAACUCCGGAACUGCACUUGAUACUGCUUUACUAGAGUACUGGAGAGGAGACUGGAAUUUACGGUGUAGCAGUGAAAUGCGUAGAUAUCGUAAGGAAGACCAGUGGCGAAGGCGAGUCUCUGGACAGUUACUGACGCUGAGGCACGAAGGCCAGGGGAGCAAACGGG